UGCAGUCGAGCGGAACGAUCCCAGCUUGCUGGGAGGCGUCGAGCGGCGGACGGGUGAGUAAUGCAUAGGAAUCUGCCCGAUAGUGGGGGAUAACCUGAGGAAACUCAGGCUAAUACCGCAUACGUCCUACGGGAGAAAGCAGGGGCUCUUCGGACCUUGCGCUAUCGGAUGAGCUUAUGUCGGAUUAGCUGGUUGGUGAGGUAACGGCUCACCAAGGCGACGAUCCGUAGCUGGUCUGAGAGGAUGAUCAGCCACAUCGGGACUGAGACACGGCCCGAACUCCUACGGGAGGCAGCAGUGGGGAAUAUUGGACAAUGGGGGCAACCCUGAUCCAGCCAUGCCGCGUGUGUGAAGAAGGCCCUCGGGUUGUAAAGCACUUUCAGUGAGGAAGAAUGCUUGUCGGUUAAUACCCGGCAAGGGAGACAUCACUCACAGAAGAAGCACCGGCUAACUCCGUGCCAGCAGCCGCGGUAAUACGGAGGGUGCGAGCGUUAAUCGGAAUUACUGGGCGUAAAGCGCGCGUAGGCGGCUUGAUAAGCCGGUUGUGAAAGCCCCGGGCUCAACCUGGGAACGGCAUCCGGAACUGUCAGGCUAGAGUGCAGGAGAGGAAGGUAGAAUUCCCGGUGUAGCGGUGAAAUGCGUAGAGAUCGGGAGGAAUACCAGUGGCGAAAGCGGCCUUCUGGACUGACACUGACGCUGAGGUGCGAAAGCGUGGGUAGCAAACAGGAUUAGAUACCCUGGUAGUCCACGCCGUAAACGAUGUCGACUAGCCCGUUGGGGUCCUCGAGACCUUUGGUGGGCGCAGUUAACGCACUAAGUCGACGCCCUGGGGGAGUACGGCCGCAAGGUUAAAACUCAAUGAAUUGACGGGGGCCCGCACAGCGGUGGAGCAUGGUGGUUUAAUUCGAUGCACGCGAGACCUUACCUACCCUUGA
rnacentral:rRNA from 1 species